GACGAACGCUGGCGGCGUGCUUAACACAUGCAAGUCGAACGGUAAGGCCCUUCGGGGUACACGAGUGGCGAACGGGUGAGUAACACGUGGGUGAUCUGCCCUGCACUUCGGGAUAAGCCUGGGAAACUGGGUCUAAUACCGGAUAGGACCACUGCCUGCAUGGGUGGUGGUGGAAAGCUUUUGCGGUGUGGGAUGGGCCCGCGGCCUAUCAGCUUGUUGGUGGGGUGAUGGCCUACCAAGGCGACGACGGGUAGCCGGCCGGAGAGGGUGACCGGCCACACUGGGACGUAGAUACGGCCCAGACUCCUACGGGAGGCAGCAGUGGGGAAUAUUGCACAAUGGGCGCAAGCCUGAUGCAGCGACGCCGCGUGAGGGAUGACGGCCUUCGGGUUGUAAACCUCUUUCAGCACCGACGAAGCGCAAGUGACGGUAGGUGCAGAAGAAGGACCGGCCAACUACGUGCCAGCCGCCGCCGUAA
rnacentral:rRNA from 1 species